GUGGGUAUAUAGCUAAUAGGCCCUUGCUUAAAGCCUUCCCUCCUCUUUACCAUGCUUAAUUCAAAUUAGGCUAAGGGGAAACCACUGCUAUGUGUUGAGGACAUUUAGCUGGCUUGUGAAGAAGACCACAUGGAGAGGAACUAAGGCCUCCAACCAACACCCAACACCAAUAUGCCAGCCAGAGUACAAGACAGACAUGGUAGCUGGAGGAAGGAGGGAAGGAGAGGGCAAGGAGCUGUGACAUGGAUGGCAUCCAGACUGUUAGUAGUAUUCAAGAUCUCAGGUUUGGAACAUAUGGGAUAUAUCCCUAUAAUUCCCCAAUAAAGAAGGA